rnacentral:rRNA from 1 species
UUGGACCUCAGAUCAGGCAAGACCACCCGCUGAGUUUAAGCAUAUCACUAAGCGGAGGAAAAGAAACUAACAAGGAUUCCCUA